rnacentral:rRNA from 1 species
UACGUAGGGUGCAGGCGUUAAUCGGAAUUACUGGGCGUAAAGCGUGCGCAGGCGGUUCGUGAUGUCUGAUGUGAAAGCCCCCGGGCUCAACCUGGGAAUGGCAAUGGAUACUGGCGAGCUAGAGUGUGUCAGAGGAUGGUGGAAUUCCCGGUGUAGCGGUGAAAUGCGUAGAGAUCGGGAGGAACAUCAGUGGCGAAGGCGGCCAUCUGGGACAACACUGACGCUGAGGCACGAAGGCCAGGGAGCAAAGCGGG